GAGUAAGGCUCAAAAGGUUGGAAUAAAAAGCCCUCGAUCAGAGAGUCAAUCAUCAGUCAUUACAGUCACCAUGACUAGAGAAAGAAUGGUGGGCGCCAUAGAACUAGAUCCACCCUCUAAACCAGAGAACUUAAAAAAUGUGAUAAUCUACAUAAUACUAAUCAUGUCAGACUCAAUCCUUCAAGGGCUUGGUUGCAGGAGAUGACUUAGUAGAUGUAAGAAGAAGGAUGAAUCCAUCAUCUU
rnacentral:lncRNA from 1 species